GAGGAAUAUUGGUCAAUGGGCGAGAGCCUGAACCAGCCAAGUAGCGUGCAGGAUGACGGCCCUAUGGGUUGUAAACUGCUUUUAUGUGGGGAUAAAGUGAGCUACGUGUAGUUUAUUGCAGGUACCACAUGAAUAAGGACCGGCUAAUUCCGUGCCAGCAGCCGCGGUAAUACGGAAGGUCCAGGCGUUAUCCGGAUUUAUUGGGUUUAAAGGGAGCGUAGGCUGGAGAUUAAGUGUGUUGUGAAAUGUAGACGCUCAACGUCUGAAUUGCAGCGCAUACUGGUUUCCUUGAGUACGCACAACGUUGGCGGAAUUCGUCGUGUAGCGGUGAAAUGCUUAGAUAUGACGAAGAACUCCGAUUGCGAAGGCAGCUGACGGGAGCGCAACUGACGCUUAAGCUCGAAGGUGCGGGUAUCGAACAGGAUUAGAUACCCUGGUAGUCCGCACAGUAAACGAUGGAUGCCCGCUGUUGGUACCUGGUAUCAGCGGCUAAGCGAAAGCAUUAAGCAUCCCACCUGGGGAGUACGCCGGCAACGGUG
rnacentral:rRNA from 1 species